UUGAGAUUCAUAACUCGUACAUGGAUUACUUAUUAAAUAGGUCACUCGCAUAAUCUGAUUAUUAAAUAGAUCAUGUUGGGUCAACACGAGCAUGACACAUUUAUGACAUGAUUAACAAAAUUGAUAUAAAAAUCCUAAAAAAAUUAAAUAAAUCUAAUUUUUUUAGGAGUUCAGCUAAGUUAUAAAAGAAUAUCAGUAUGUAUAAAUUAAUGCAAGCACA
rnacentral:lncRNA from 1 species